GGCGAAGUGUGGGCCCCUCCUAGACUGCACUGCGUCGAUGCGAGCCUGCCAGCUGCUGAGUGUGACUACUCCUGCAGAACUUCAGCCCCUUGCCCGCGUGCAGAGGUUUGAGUCCGGGCGUCAGGAGUGAGCGCGUGGCGGCCAGUCCGUAACACAGUGCUAAGUCGAACGGACACCGUUCGGGGGGUCAGGUGGCGAACGGCGGGGAGGUAACGCGGUAGGGAAUUUACCCCGUGGGAGGGGGAGUAACAGCGUGGAAACGGCGUGCGUAAGUACCCCAGUACAGGCGCAAGGUGAAAGGAGGUAAGUCGCCCAGGGAGUGAGCCGUCGUCGGAUAGCGUAGUUGGUGGGUAAGUGCCGACCAAGGCGACGAGCCGUAGCGGGGCGUGAGAGGAGUGCCCGCCACACGUGGGACGUAGACACGGGCCAGACGUCGACGGGAGGCAGCAGGUGGGGAAGUUGCCGCAAGUGGCGAAAGCGUGACGGAGCAAGUGCGGGGGAGGGAAGAAGGCGUGGGGGCGGAAACGGGUGGC
rnacentral:rRNA from 1 species